rnacentral:rRNA from 1 species
CAUACAAGGAUUCCCCUAGUAACGGCGAGGAAGCGGGAAGAGCUCAAAUUUAAAAUCUGGUGGUCUUUGAUUGCCCGAAUUGUAAUCUAGAGAAGCGUUUUCCGCGCUGGACUGUGUACAAGUUUCCUGGAUACGGAACAUCAUAGAGGGUGAGAAUCCCGUCCUUGACACAGACUCCCAGUGCUUUUGCGAUGCGCUCUCGACGAGUCGAGUUGUUUGGGAUUGCAGCUCAAAAUGGGAGGUAAAUUCCUUCUAAAGCUAAAUAUUGGCGAGAGACCGAUAGCGAACAAGUACCGUGAGGGAAAGAUGAAAAGCACUUUGGAAAGAGAGUUAAACAGUACGUGAAAUUGUUAAAAGGGAAACGCUU